rnacentral:rRNA from 1 species
UACGUAGGCAGCGAGCGUUGUUCGGACUUACUGGGCGUAAAGCGUGUGUAGGCGGUGCUCCCAGUCUGUCGUGAAAUCUCCCGGCUCAACUGGGAGGGGGCGGCGGAAACUAGAGUGCUCGAGUGUGGGAGAGGUAAGCGGAAUUCCUGGUGUAGCGGUGAAAUGCGUAGAUAUCAGGAGGAACACCUGCGGUGUAGACAGCUAACUGGGCCACGACUGACGCUGAGACACGAAAGCGUGGGUAGCAAACAGG